rnacentral:rRNA from 1 species
UACGGAGGAUGCGAGCGUUAUCCGGAUUUAUUGGGUUUAAAGGGUGCGUAGGCGGGAUGCCAAGUCAGCGGUCAAAUACGGGGGCUCAACCUGCGUCCGCCGUUGAAACUGGCGUUCUUGAGUGGGCGAGAAGUACGCGGAAUGCGUGGUGUAGCGGUGAAAUGCAUAGAUAUCACGCAGAACCCCGAUUGCGAAGGCAGCGUACCGGCGCCCGACUGACGCUGAAGCACGAAAGCGUGGGUAUCGAACAGG